ensembl:lincRNA
UGAAAAUGUGAUAAUUUGCUUUGCUGGGAGCCCACAUUUUGAGCUCAGGAUGUGUUUAAACUGUGAUACUGGAGCUCUCCGUGGUAACACUCUCUUCCUUGCUCAUGAAAUGAGCAAGAACCUACAUACAUUAGUGAAAUUCAUUUUCUCUCGCUUCCAUGCAGAUUCUUACAGAUUGCGUUUGCUGCUCCUUUUCUUUGCAAAAACGAAAGCCUACAACGGAUGGUGAAGCCUUACAUGUGCAUCUGUUGCAGAGCUCCCCAGGUCGCAACAGUAGCUUCUGCUUCAACUCUUACCCUCGGGCCACAAGGCUGGGGUUCAAGAGGAAUAUGCCACUGCUUCCAGUGAGCCAAGAGCUCACUGCUCUCAUGGACAGCUCACUGGCUGCUGGACGGCAAGAGAAGGGGACGUUUGUGGAAGAAAGCGGAUUCUUUCCCUUUUCUGCUGGGAGAACUCUUCCCUGAGCUAAGGAGAACUUGACUACUAUUACUAUCCUCCAGGUGCAUCGUUAAUGGAAUUUUCUGGCCCGUGGAAAACAGACUGUGAUGAAGAUACGAAGAUGAUUUAGUCGGUGACUGAUGAGAUCAGGCAUCCGUCCCUCCAUCAAUCCUUCUGCAGCCGUUAGGUCUGAUCCUGAGCAUCAGUGACCUGGAACAGGGACAUUCCGUCUCCUCUGCAGCUUUCCCAUGGAGCCUCAUAAAUUCCGCAUGGGGCGUUUCACGCCAUAUCUCCGGCUUCUCCUGCUGCUAAGGGCUCGUGUCCCCCAUGGUCGCAUGGUGAGGCAAUCUUAGCAUCGGUCCCCUGGAACAUUCGUUCUGUGGGGUGGGAAAGGGCAGGAUGGAAGCCUACAAUUAUGGGAGUGCUGGGUUGGAAGGCUUCUCAUUACAUGACUAUGCAGGGUCCUCUGUGUGAAUGUGUACCUUCAAGGGAGGGAGGUCCUAGAGGGUGCGUCUCAAACUUAGUUGCCUAAGUCAAGGAAAUCUUUUGGUGUAGAACACCCCUGGGACUCGCCUUCUCAGGUACAUAUUCUAGGAAACGUUGCCGUCAAUGGAAUGAUUCUUAGUAUCUUCCAGGCCAGCACUGUCCAAAUAGCAGCAUAAUGUGAACCACAAAGACAAGCCACAGCUAUGAUUUUAAUUUUUCAGGAGUCACAUUAAAAAGUAACACGAACUGGGUGAAAUUAACUUUAAUAAUCUACUCUAUGCUAUGUUAUAAAAUAUGAAAUCAUGUAUAAAAAUAUAAAACUCUUAUGUGUAUGUAACACAUAUACAAUGACAUAUGACAUAUGACAUAUGUAACUCAUAUCAAGAAUAUUAUCAUUUCAAGGCAUAAUCAAUAUGAAAGUAGUGAUGUUUACAUUUUUUUUUCUAUCAAGCCAUUAAAAUCUUGUAUGCAUAUGAAGCUUGCAGCACCCAGCACCUUUCAAAGGCUCUGUAGCCCAAUGGGGCUGGAUGUUGCCACAUUGGAUAGUGGAGCUCUACUCCCAACAGUGACACUGUGGAUACUCGGGUUCUCAGGUCCCACCCAGACCCAGAUGCCCCCAAACCGGAAACUCCAUGUCUGGCAACCGGUAAGCUGUGGUUGAAUAAGCUUCCCUAGCUUGCACCAUCCUGCGUGGCGGCCGCUAGCCUUACGGUGGCAAGUGAACAUUUGACAGGUGAAUACUCGGCUGGUGAGGUACACUCGACCUCGCCACCUGAUGUGAGGAAGGCAUGUGGAAGGCCGCAUUCAAUUUUUUUUUUUUUUUACUAUGAUACAACAUAUAAUUUGUAUCAUGAGAUUCCUUAUGCUGUUGUAAAAC